rnacentral:rRNA from 1 species
UUCCGGUUGAUCCUGCCGGACCUGACUGCUAUCGGAUUGAUACUAAGCCAUGCGAGUCUUUGUAGUAAUACAAGGCAGACGGCUCAGUAACACGUAGUCAACCUACCCUAUGGACGAGAAUAAUCUCGGGAAACUGAGCAUAAUUCUCGAUAGAUCAUAAUGCCUGGAACGGUUUAUGGUUAAAAUGAUUCGUCGCCAUAGGAUGGGACUGCGGCCUAUCAGCUUGUUGGUGAGGUAAUGGCCCACCAAGGCGAUUACAGGUACGGGCUCUGAGAGGAGAAGCCCGGAGAUGGGUACUGAGACAAGGACCCAGGCCCUAUGGGGCGCAGCAGGCGAGAAAACUUUGCAAUGUGCGAAAGCACGACAAGGUUAAUCCGAGUGUUUUCUGCUAAAGAAAUCUUUUGUCAGUCGUAAAACCACUGGCGAAUAAGGGGUGGGCAAGUUCUGGUGUCAGCCGCCGCGGUAAAACCAGCACCUCAAGUGGUCAGGAUGAUUAUUGGGCCUAAAGCAUCCGUAGCCGGCUUUGUUAGUUUUCGGUUAAAUCCAUGUGCUCAACGCAUGGGCUGCCGAAAAUACUGCAUAGCUAGGGAGUGGGAGAGGUAGACGGUACUCAGUAGGAAGGGGUAAAAUCCUUUGAUCUAUUGAUGACCACCUGUGGCGAAGGCGGUCUACCAGAACACGUUCGACGGUGAGGGAUGAAAGCUGGGGGAGCAAACCGGAUUAGAUACCCGGGUAGUCCCAGCUGUAAACGAUGCAGACUCGAUGAUGCAUUGGCAUAAUAGCCAAUGCAGUGUCGCAGGAAGCCGUUAAGUCUGCCGCCUGGGAAGUACGUACGCAAGUAUGAAACUUAAAGGAAUUGGCGGGGGAGCACCACAAGGGGUGAAGCCUGCGGUUCAAUUGGAGUCAACGCCGGGA